rnacentral:rRNA from 1 species
UACAGAGGGUGCAAGCGUUAAUCGGAAUUACUGGGCGUAAAGCGUGCGUAGACGGUUGCGUAAGUCAGGUGUGAAAGCCCCGGGCUCAACCUGGGAAUUGCAUUUGAGACUGCGUAGCUAGGGUGCGGAAGAGGGAAGCGGAAUUUCCGGUGUAGCGGUGAAAUGCGUAGAUAUCGGAAGGAACACCAGUGGCGAAAGCGGCUUCCUGGUCCAGCACCGACGUUCAGGCACGAAAGCGUGGGGAGCAAACAGG